rnacentral:lncRNA from 1 species
UAUAUAUUCAUUUCUUUAUCUCAUUAUUUCUCAAAUUUUUUGAUUCAUUUCAUUAAUAUAUCGUCCCUUAGGGCUUGCAUAAACAGGUUUGUAUGAUCUUUCACAUGUUAUCUUUAGUCACAUUUCACAUGUAUGUACAUAUAGUACCAUUUCAUAUCAUCAACUCAAUUCAACAUCAUUUAUCAAGUUCAUAUUUUAUAAUCCCUAUUAACCAGACUCUAACUAAAGAUGAAUACACAGAUCAUCCAACCAACACACCAAUCUGGCACCUCAGUGCAUCAUCGAAAGAACUGAA